rnacentral:misc_RNA from 1 species
GUAAAUGUCUUAUCAUUUUAACCAUGGGGUUUGUAUAUCAACUCUUUGCUUUUCUUGUGUGGGUGCAAUUGGUGAGGUCCCAAUACCCCGGCCUUCAGGUUUCCAUAACAACAGACGGUACAUACAGUGUCAAGGUCAAUGGUAGACAAUGGCUCUCCAGCGCGCCGACCUAUUUCAUGGCGGACGGAGCCAUGUUUAUUGGCGGGAAGAACGGGAAUCUUAGUCUGCUACAGAGCUCAGCGUCCAGUGGGUACGACAAGAUUGGAGAAUGGCAGACGUCCGACUUCUUCUACUCUGCCGGUAGUAGCAACAUCACUGCCUCCAUCAAAACGUAUCCAUACGAAUUGGAGGACGAUUUUAUCAUGUUUUCACAGACAUAUCACAAUGGAGCCACGAGGACAAACCGAGCUGACGUCAGUUCCGUUAUUGGGAGAUUUCCCGCCUUUAGCGUCGGAAGUCAAGACCCCCUCGUCAGCCUGUUUUAUUUAGCCUACGGGGGAAUAAUGGUUGGGGACACUGGAAAAAGCAUAGGAGUUUGGAACAAAACAGACGUUGCCAUGAGCUAUGGGUUGUCGGGAGGGCCGCUGGCCAUCUUUGAUCAGGAGGGAAAUACUGUCAUCAUUUCUCCCUUCUCGCAGUUCAUGGCCGCCUCUGUCACCCACCCAGACUUUGACAACAGUGUGGGUUGGGGUGUCAUGGGAGGUGUACAAAAGGUCCCACCCAACUACCAGUAUGACACAAUCCUCUAUUAUGCAAAAGGAAUAAACAAGGCUUUUGAAGGCUGGGGUCGAUUGAUGAGGAAAUUGUACGGAAGAACGGAUGACUUUGUUAAAACAGACCUUACCAUCAGUCAUCUGGGCUACUGGACAGAUAACGGAGCGUAUUAUUACUAUUUGACGGAGCAAAAUAAAACCUACGAGGACUCCAUGUUGGAUGUCAAGAACUACACAGACAGUCAGAGCAUACCAUACAGAUACUUUCAGUUUGAUUCUUGGUGGUACUACAAGGGGGCCGGUAACGGGGUCAAGGAAUGGGAGCCUCGUCCUGACAUUUUCCCUCACGGAUCUAAAGCACUAGUUCAGAAGCUUGAUUUUCCCAUCGCAUUGCAUAACCGAUUCUGGUCUAAGGACACGAUAUAUGCUGUACAGAACAAAGGAAGGUAUUUGUUUCAGAUUGAUACGAAUGGAACAGUCUCAGCCCCCAUCACUCAGGAUUUCUGGAAUUAUUUGUUAGGUCGCGCGAGAGACGAUUGGGGAUUGGUUCUUUACGAACAAGAUUGGCUGAAUGUUGAAUUUGCCGGGCUCCCGUCCUUCUUGAACAACGUAAAUCUGGGAAAUUUAUGGCUGGAAGAAAUGGCGGAUGCAGCAAAGCUGUGGAAGAUUCCGAUACAGUAUUGUAUGUCCAACACACGGCAUGCCCUGAAAGCUGUACAACUAGAUAUUGUCACUCAGGCCCGGGUGAGCGGGGAUUACCACCCCGGACAUGACCAGUGGAGGAUCGGGGUCUCCUCCAUGCUUGCUGCCGCCAUUGGACUCCGCCCGUUCAAGGACACCUUCUGGACUACCACCAACCAGCCCGGCAACAAGUACAGGUCUACUGAACCGUACCCAGGUUUGAAUGCGGUGGUGUCCACCCUCAGUACCGGACCAGUUGGGCCCGGGGAUAUGGUGGGCGGUACAAAUAGAUCCCUUCUUAUGAGGUGUUGCAACGAAGACGGAAUGAUUUUGAAGCCAUCAAUACCAGCAACAUCUAUAGAUCGCCAACUGAUCAUGACAGCGUCCGGAGCUAUGGCGGAUAUGGAGGUCUGGAGCACGUACUCAGCAAUGUCUGUAGGAGGUACCGUGAAGUACUUUGGGAUGGUUCUCGGGGUAGACACAGCUGGAUUUAAACUUCUAACCAAAGACUUAAAUUUCAUGGUAAGAUGGAACCUCUAGAUGCUCAACAAUACGUAAAUAGUCUUUUGUAAAAUGUCAAAGAAUUCAAAAAGUUAAUGUACAUAGCAAUUGGUGAGGUUAUGAUUUUUUUAUGAUUAGCAAUCGGAGAGAAGAGAACUGUUAAAAGUGUUUUUUUUAAUUCAACAAAAUGAAUUAAUAGCAAUCCAAUUACCUUAACACAUUUGGACUUUUCAAUCUUUGUUAGAACUUUUUAACAAGUUAUCCUUAUUCCAUGAUAUCAUGUUAUCCUUGAUCGGUGGACCAUAGCAAAUGUGUUGUAUGAUAAAAAGGCGGAUGCACAGAGGGAUGAGUACAUCGUAUUCGAACACCGCUCACCACAGAGUCACGUGACCUUUACCACAUCCCUGACGAUGCCAAACUGCACUAAAACUAACUUCUGUCUCUAUCAUUUUAUCCCGGAGAUGAAGAUUGGUAAUACUCACACGGUGUUCUUGAUGGGAGAGACAGAUAAAUGGGUGCCGGUGUCUGAGCAGCGAAUCGUGGCCAUCACCCCCAUACAGGACACCGACAUUGUACUCACAGUGGCGGGGGUCCGGGGCGAGACGGUCCGAAUUUCCUACCUCCUAGACGGAACUCUUCAGACUGUUACCUGUACAUUCAAACUAACGUCAUCACUUAUGCUUUCUAUUUCUAAUAAAUCUUGUUGAUUCAACAUGAGAAUUU